AAGUCGUAACAAGGUCUCCGUUGGUGAACCAGCGGAGGGAUCAUUACAGAGUUGCAAAACUCCCAACCCUUUGUGAACGAACCUACCAGUUGCCUCGGCGGCGAGCCCCCUGGGGCGGACCGCCGGAGGAAUACAAACUCUUUGCAUUAUAGUAUCUCUGAUUACUUAUUCAAUAAGUUAAAACUUUCAACAACGGAUCUCUUGGUUCUG
rnacentral:misc_RNA from 1 species